rnacentral:lncRNA from 1 species
GAAAACGGCGCUGCAGUGGUUGGGAAAGGUUGGGUGUGCCAAAUGAGAGAGAAAAAGUUGCUUUUAUAGGGUAGGGUUGGGCGCGUAAUCGAUUACGAGGUUGCUGUAAUCGAUUACGAGGGGUCUGAUGCAUUUUGGUCAGCCAGCAAGCACUGGUAAUCGAUUACACNGACUAUGUAAUCGAUUACCAUAGUGGAUUUUGCAAUAAAAAGUGUUUUUGGACACAAAUAUAACGUAAUAUAAGACAUAAAAAGUUUUUAUUACAUUCAUCCAUGUUCAAAUAAAGUGUCAAACAUAAGAGGUAAUUAUUACAGUCAUCCAAAUAGAAGUUUAAACAACUAUUAAACAGUACAGAAUAAUAGAAAAUAGUCUUAAACAUUACAAAU